AUACGUAGGGGGCGAGCGUUGUCCGGAAUGAUUGGGCGUAAAGGGCGCGUAGGCGGCCCGAUAAGUCCGGAGUGAAAGUCCUGUUUUUAAGAUGGGAAUUGCUUUGGAUACUGUCGGGCUUGAGUGCAGGAGAGGUAAGUGGAAUUCCCAGUGUAGCGGUGAAAUGCGUAGAGAUUGGGAGGAACACCAGUGGCGAAGGCGACUUACUGGACUGUAACUGACGCUGAGGCGCGAAAGUGUGGGGAGCAAACAGGAUUAGAUACCCUGGUAGUCCACACUGUAAACGAUGAAUGCUAGGUGUAGGGGGUAUCGACCCCUUCUGUGCCGCAGUCAACACAAUAAGCAUUCCGCCUGGGGAGUACGGCCGCAAGGUUGAAACUCAAAGGAAUUGACGGGG
rnacentral:rRNA from 1 species